GACAGAGGGUGCAAACGUUGUUCGGAAUUACUGGGCGUAAAGCGCGUGUAGGCGGUCCGAUAAGUCGGGUGUGAAAGCCCUGGGCUCAACCCAGGAAGUGCACUCGAAACUGACGGGCUAGAGUACUGGAGAGGUUGGUGGAAUUCUCGGUGUAGAGGUGAAAUUCGUAGAUAUCGAGAGGAACACCGGUGGCGAAGGCGGCCAACUGGACAGAUACUGACGCUGAGACUCGAAAGCGUGGGGAGCAAACAGG
rnacentral:rRNA from 1 species